AUGUUCUCGUGUUGCUUCCCCACUUCGAGAGGUUGCUGCUUCAGGAAUGGAGGGAGUGAGAGCCUUUUCCGACAAUGCCGAAGAAGGCUCAUCCCUCACCCCAGACGCCUGUGGCCCUUUGUAAGAAGGCGCACCCAGCUCCUGGUCCAUACGCAGACAUAGCAGCACUUGCGGCACCGGCUGUCGAGCCAAAGCCAGCAUGGGAAGAGCCCCCUCCAGAGAGAGCGCUGGAGGUGGAGGGAGCUCCAGCCAAGGACCAGCCCAGCCAGGAGCUGCCUGAAAUCAUGGCACCUACUAGCAUUAAAACAAGGCUGGGAAGAAGAGUUCCAGCAGCUCCUCCUGCUCUCAGACGCAAUCUUCUCCUCCAGGCAUGGAUGUGUGUCUGCAACUGGGCAUCCAGGCUGUUUGCCCCCUAA
rnacentral:lncRNA from 1 species